rnacentral:lncRNA from 1 species
AUGUGGUGUAUUGCAUUUAUUUAUUUUUGUGGGCCUUGUUUGAUGUUUGUGCGUAGAAGGUGUUGACACCAUGAACUUCUAGGACCAGGAGUUUGACACCACUGAUCCUAACCAGUUUGAAGGCAAGUAUCAUUGACCAUACUUGCUCCUAUAUUUAAUUUAUUUUUGAUUUAGUUUAGUUAGACCAUUAGUUGCAUGGAGAGUCUUAAUUCGAAUCCUAUGUUAUGGUUUACUAGUUAUUGUCACAUUAUCCUUGUAACCCAAUUGGAAUGGAUAGAUGUCAAGCUUAGCCUUGCUGUCAUGGUUGGGAUGGGAAAGUUAUAAUUUAAUACUGAUUAAUGUCUAUGGAAUAUGUGAUGGUAAUCUUUUUAGCAACAUGGUGACUAGGGAAUCUAAGCAGGAUGGAUGGAUUGGUAUGAUGGUUAUUUGGUUUUGGUAUAUCAUGGGG